rnacentral:lncRNA from 1 species
UUCCAGUUCUGCAAGCUCCAUCAAUGGCCAACCACAAAAAAAUCAAGCACUGGAAUUGUCAUACAAGACUUUAAAGCAGCCAUGUAAUCAUCUUCCACAAGGUAAAGGUGAAUGCCCUUGAAAUGAAUGGAAAAUCAGAAAUUCUCCACAGAUGAAAAAGGCCCAAAUAGAAACUUCAGAAUUGAAAAAUACAAAAACGUAAUUAACAUAAAACUGAGUGACAUGGUUUGGGUUUGUUCCCACCCAAAUCUCAACUAGAAUUGUAUCUCCCAGAAUUCCUACGUGUUGUGGGAGGGACCCAAUGGGAGGUAAUUGAAUCAUGGGGGCGGUCUUUCCCAUGCUAUUCUCGUGAUAGUGAAUAAGUCUCAAGAGAUCUCAUGGGUUUAUCAGGCGGUUCCGCUUUUGCUGCUUCUUCAUUUUCUCCUGCUGCCGCCAUGUAAGAAAUGCCUUUUGCCUCCCACCAUGAUUCUGAGGCCCCCCAAGCUGUGUGGAAAUGCAACUCAGAAGAGGACUUACAAUUGAAGGCUUUCUGCUAGCAACGCUUUCUGCUAGCAACACACCCUGCAACUGGAGGAACACAUUCUUGAGUCUGGAAGUAGAACCGGGUGCCCCACAGCAUCCGUUAUUCCUACACAUUACACUGGUAAAUUAUUUAUCCUUCAGAAGGUGCUGUCUCGAUUUGCACUCCUCUGUUAUUAAUGGCACUUUUUAAAAACUGAAAUUGUUUUUUUUUACGUAAUUUCUCCAACCACACGGUGAGUGUCUCAUGAGAAAGAAUGUUGUAUUCACCACCACCUAUUUCCUCAGUCUCCACUUUUCGGGCUGAACCCGAGAGCCAGCGUGCAGCGCAGCUGGGGGCGUGACCGACAUGAGAUGAAAACUGCGCAGACUCAGCAACUCAGCCCCAAUAGGAGGGCACGAGCCCCAGCGUCCUCGGUUUCCAUAGUGACAGAGCCUACUUCUGGUCUCUAACCGCCACGGUUUCCCUUCUUAGCUCCGGGCGCACCCAGGAAAGACAAAAAUACGCAUAAGGCCAGCCGUUUGACCCCUUGCUGCGGAAGAUAAAGGGCUCCACUCUAAACGUGGUGAUCCUGGUAAACGCAGGAGUUGGGGGAGCGUGCAAGACCCUGAGAAUUUUCCUUCUUUACCCGCCCCCAGGCCUAGCCCACCCACCUAGACCGCGAUCAGCCCUCCCUUUAUAAGGGGAGUGUGCUCUGGUAUAAGAUUUGUUAGGUGAUUAAAUAUAAAGAAAACCUGUUAACCACCUACCCUACCUUCAAGAAACAUCCCCC